UUAAAACUUUGUCCAUAUUUCUCCUAGCUUUUAGCAUGGCAGAUUGAAGUCUUGAUGAUAACUAAAGACAUAUAGCUUAUAAUAUAA